UACAGAGGCCUCAAGCGUUAGGCGGAAUCACUAGGCUUAAAGCGUGCGUAGUCGGUUAUCUAAGUCGGGUGUGAAAUCCCCGGGCUCAACCUGGGAAUUGCAUUCGAUACUGGAUAGCUAGAGUUCGGCAGAGGGAAGCGGAAUUUCUGGUGUAGCGGUGAAAUGCGCAGAUAUCAGGAGGAACACCGGUGGCGAAGGCGGGUCUCUGGGCCGAUACUGACGCUGAGGAGCGAAAGCGUGGGGAGCAAACAGG
rnacentral:rRNA from 1 species